UUUAUGGGCAUUGCCCAUGGGCGUAGCCAGGGUUUAUGUUAGGGGGGCAGGACUUUUGCUACUGGGGGCAGAACCGAGCUAUCUGCGACUCAGUUGCUCAGUCAGUUGCCGUAAGUAUUUUUAUUUAUUUACUUGAUUUAGGGGGGGCAACUGCACCCCCCUGGCCAGAGCCGUAGCUAGGUGAUCUUGUGUCCCUGGCAGAACUGUCCAGAUUACGCCCUCCCCCAUUCAAUUCACCCUCUAUUUAAAACCUUAUCUUAUGAGGCAAUAAUAUUUUUAUUUAUAGACAUUUAUGGACAUAUUUUUCAGCCGAUUUUGCGCCCCUCCCCUCGACUGUACCCCUGGCUGGGGCCCACCUCACCACCCCAUAGCUACAGCGCUGUCCCUGGCUAUUACUUAAUUAAACUUGAUUUAAGUUGGCACCCCUGCUUGCAGCAUAUGGGCAGGAUUGACCUAAAGAGCACUGCAGGACGGCACCCCCACCCCUCUUGCUUCCCAUGCCCAAAUCAUUUCGGAGGGUAUAAGGCAGGCAGGGGGAGGUGAGCGGAGUCACUCCAGCUGGCAAACAGUGGUGGGACAUUAGAUUUGGAUUGAUAACACAUUGUGCAUGCUGUUAGACAACAAAGGUCUCUGGACAGCUUACGAUAAUGAAAAUGUUAGUCCCAACUAUAAGCAAUAAAAUAUCCUCAUAACAGCAACGAAUAAUCUUGCCGAAGCACCAAGAAGUAAAUAGGCUUUAGAUUUUAAAAUAAAGUUUUUCUAAAGGCCUGAGGAGAUAAAAAGUUAUUCACCUGGGGCUGGGGAGACAUCAGAGUAGGCACCAAGUGAGCCUCUGUGGGGAUGCCAUUCCAGAAAUUAAAAGUAAAGGUAAUGGGACCCCUGAACAUUAGGUCCAGUCAUGGCCAACUCUGGGGUUGCGGCGCUCAUCUCACCUUACAGCUUCCGGGUCAUGUGGUCAGUAUGACUAAGCCGCUUCUGGCAAACCAGAGCAGUGCACGGAAACACGGAAACACCUUAUACCUUCCCACCGGAGUGGUACCUAUUUAUCUACUUUCAUUUUGUUGGGCUUUGGAACUGCUAGGUUGGCAGGAGCAGGGGCCGAGCAACGGGAGCUCACCCCGUCGCGGGGAUUCAAACCGCUGACUUUCUGAUCAGCAAGCCCUAGGCUCUGUGGUUUAACCCACAGCGCCACCCGCGUCACUUCCAGAAAUUAGGAAGGUCCGUAAAGAUCCAUUGCCUCAAGAGUCAGGUUUUUUUGUCACCUUAACAGUGCUUGAAAGCAGCAGGUCUGUUAUUUUCAUGGUUUCAAUCAAAAGAGGCAGAAGCAAUCUGAGAUUUGAUGGUGGUUUGAGGAGUGGAGGUGUCACUUUAAAAAUUGUGCAGUUUCAAGAGCAUCCUUACUUGGUCUGACACGCAAGUGGGUGUGCAUUCACCUUUUCUCCUGACAUCCCAUUCACUCCCCCUCUCUUCCUCUUCAGCCCACUUUCUCUUUCCUGCCUUCCCCCAGAUGGCCCGUUUUCCUCCCUGCCCCUCUCAGUGUCCUGGGCUGCUCCCCUUCUUACUCUCAGUUGCUUCAUUUUUCGCUCAGGUGCCAAUCUGAGCCUUAAAAAGCACAUUGAGCUGGAAUAGGAAGUGGGAAAGAAAGAGUGCUGUUCUUCCCACUUCCUCCUUCACCUCUAUGCGCUUUUCAGGAGGGGGAGGGGGAGAGCGAGAGUCACCCAUGUGCAGCAGGGGAGGGCUCAUGGCCAGACUUCACACAGGCACCAGGACAAGUUCUUCAAGCUGCCAUUGUGCCCACGUGCACCACAAAGGUGACCCCAGCUUUCUGGAGUCAAAACUGGAACAUUAUGUCUUCACCCCUGCACACCUCCUGAUGCCAGGCACCCACAUACCCAAGAGGAGUUAACCAAAACGUGGCCUUUCCCCCUUCCCUGCUCAUUACAGUGGUACCUCGGGUUAAGAACUUAAUUUGUUCCAGAGGUCCAUUCUUAACCUGAAACUGUUCUUAACCUGAAGCACCACUUUAGCUAAUGGGGCCUCCUGCUGCUGCCACGCCGCCACCACCCAAUUUCUGUUCUCAUCCUGAAGCAAAGUUCUUAAUCUGAGGUACUAUUUCUGGGUUAGCGGAGUCUGUAACCUGAAGCAUCUGUAACCCGAGGUACCACUGUACACAUCUUUGUUAAUUUGGGACAUUUCUUAGCUUGCUCUGCAGCCAAAGGGUCUCUUGGAGUAGCUAACAAAAGAUUUAAAAGCAACAGGACUUCAAUAAAACUGGUACAAUUAAGAAGAGGAGGAGAUGAAGUUAAAUGAGUAAUCCUCAGCAUAUUCACUCAGAAUCAAGUUUCACUGUGUGCCAUUAGGCUUCUAGGAAAGUGGGCAGCCUAAAAAUCUGCACCUCUUUUUUUAAAAAAGGGGGGACUAUUUAAACUUGGCGCCAAAAAUAAAUCAAAUUCAGCAGUAGGCAAGCGUCCCUAGGGAGGGAAUUCCAUAGCUGGGGUGUCUCAGCUAAAAAUGCCCUCCAAGUGACAAUAGUUGGAUCAGGCACUACCCUCAAAUCACAAACCUGACCCUUCAGAGAGCAACACUGCUCUAACCACCCAGGUAGACAAAUCUGCCUGCUGACAGCACUUCCAUCUUAUAGGGAUUGAGCCUCUGUUUGUUGGCCCUCAUGCAACCUGUUACUGUCCCCACUGGUCCAGCACAUUAUCCAGAUUAGUCAGGAUUUGACGAAAAGGAGAAGCAGAGCCCUGACGACACGUUACCCCAAAUACACAGAUGGCCUAACUCAGUGGUUUCAUGUAUAUCUUAAAAUAGCACGAGGGACAAAGCAGUCCUGCAGAAUGUAUCAAAAACCUCUGAGAAGUCUAGAAGAAAAAGCAUCUGAAUCAGGUUAGACAGAGGCCUGGCAACCCUUGUCGCUGGAGUUGAAAUGGAGUUGAUAUGAUCAAUUUUCUCAUGUUCAUUUUCAGUGUCUAGGCCCGUCUUUCUCACACAAGGGCACAUCAGGAUUGCUUCAGUCAGCUAGAAGAAGAAUUAAAAUUGUGGUUCUUCAUGAGACCCAAAUCCUUUUUUAGGGAUGAUACAGUAAAAUGUUUGUCUGGCUGACUGAAGUCCUGGGGCAGGUUACAAUGAUAAAAAUAGAUGGUUAUACAUUAGGGAGAAUGAUUUACCAGGAACGUGGCAUCGGAGAACAGAAACUGCCCCGUGUAAUAAUUACGAGAUCAUGUGCUACUGAGUCACAGAGAAGUCUUGGUGUUCAGAGGAAAGAAGCAAGUCAUCGGUGUGGCAUUGCUCAGCUUCCCUUUGCCAAACCUCUGGCAUCCUUCAGGACAAAGAAGAGAGAGUCCUCCACUGGCAAGGAAGGUUAAAGUCCUCUGCUCUGCUUUAUGGAAGUAGACCUACCCAAAGCAAGCAGGGCAUGUCUGUGUGCCUGGUGCCAUAUAUGUGUCUCGUAAAUGCCGCAGGGAGCAUCGAAUCUGGCAAAUUAGUGGGCCGCUGGUCUAAUCCUUACGUUUUUAAUCACAAAAGCAGAGUCAGAUUUGAUUAUCUAGGGUUGUAUAUGUUCUUCUCAGAGCCACAUAAAUUAAUAAUAAUAAUAAUAAUUUUAUUAUUUAUACCCCACCCAUCUGGCUGGGUUUCCCCAGCCACUCUGGGCGGUUUACAGCACAUAAAAAAUUGCAAAACAUUAGACAAAAAAAUUCCCGAUACAGGGUUGCCUUCAGAUGUCUUCUAAAAGUCAGUUGUUUAUUUCAUUUACAUCUGAUGGGAUAAGUGCCAUGGUGUGUGUGUGUGUGUGUGUGUGUGUGUUGUGAACAAUUUCAAAGCAUAUAGAGCACUUUGUGAAGAGGACCAGAAAGGCUUUAUGUCCCAGGGCAGAGCUCUUAAGUUAGCUGAGGGAGUUGCGUGUGAUACUACUUACUCAGUGCAGUACAGUAUGUGGUUGGUUUGAUGGAAGUGUCCCCUGAGAGAAAGAAACACAGAAAUUGUAAGGUGUGCAAGUAAUUAAUGUGAUUACUCCAAAUAAGGGACAGUUCAUGUAACACUGGUCCUGAAAGACCUAAAUUGGCUCCCAGUACGUUUCCGAGCACAGUUCAAAGUGUUGGUGCUGACCUUUAAAGCCCUAAACAGCCUCAGCCUAGUAUACCUGAAGGGGCAUCUCUACCCCCAUUGUUCAGCCCAGACACUGAGGUCCAGUGCCGAGGGCCUUCUGGUGGUCCCCUCACUGUGAGAAGGGGGGUUACAGGGAAUCAGGCACAGGGCCUUCUUGGUAGUGGCACCUGCCCUGUGGAAUGCCCUCCCAUCAGAUGUCAAGGAAAUAAACAACUAUCCGACUUUUAGAAGACAUCUGAAGGCAGCCCUGUUUAGGGAAGUUUUUAAUGUUUGAAGUUUUAUUCUGUUUUUAAUGUUCUGUUGAAAGCUGCCCAGAGUGGCUGGGGAAACCCAGUCAGAUGGGUGGGGUAGAGAUAAUAAAUUAUUUUUAUUAUUGAUUCAGGUAGGUAGCCAUGUUGGUCUGACACAGUCGAAAUAAAUUAAAAAAAUAUUUUAGCACCUUGGAGACCAACUAAGUUUGUUCUGGGUAUAAGUUUUCAUGUGCAUGCACACUUCUUCAGAUACUUCUGACAAUUCUUCAGGUAUCUGAAGAAGUGUGCACGCACACGAAAGCUUAUACCCAGAACAAACUUAGUUGGUCUCUAAGGUGUUACUGGACAAUGAUGAUGAUGAUGAUGAUGAUUGUUUGGCCAGUUUUCAGUGAAUGUUUAUAGUAUGUGGAGUAGGGCCUAGGAGGCAUUUACACUGCAAUUUAUUAAACUGAGUUUCACAUUUAUCCGAGAACGAUUGUGUUACAUCUGUUGGCUGUCUACGUUGCAUUGAAUGACUGAGGUUGCAAACUCAUGCCGUUGGGCUCAGCGGGAAUUUCUCCCAGGUAAACAUACAUAGAAAAUAUACAUGCAGUUCAAUCUGUCAUCCCAAGGCAGGCUCUUAGGACUCACGUUCACUCCAUUCCCUCUGGAUUAACAGGAGAAUCAUUUGCUUAUCAACUGGGGCUCCUUUAGUAAAGGCUAGUAAGGCUCCUUUAGUAAAACAGGGGCUUACUCCCAGGCAAGUGAGUAUAGCACUGCAGCAAAUUUCCCACAAUCCAGAAUGCGGUGUUCUGCAAACACGAAUGCUCUGCCUCCUGAAUAUGUUCUCUUGUUUUGAUUGUAUGGCUGUAUGAAAUCCUUUAACACAUUAUCUUGUGUGAUCCGUUUGAUUGCUGUUUUAUGUUAAUUCUGUAAACUGUCCAGCAGAGGGCAGGCUAGAGGCACAGAUUGACUUCAUGCCACUGUGUUCUAAAAGUAUGGAAGCGGCUGUAUUGUUUUAUAAUCUUGUAUCGUGGCCCCACAACUGACUCCCCUGCCCCUCUCUAGACUGAAACCCCCCAGUGCCAACUCCCCUUGUUGGGGAAUAUGCUUCAAUCUCCAGAGCUGUAAAACUGUUUGAAUAUUGUAUUUUUAUAUUGUUGCAACUGGGACUGACUGACGAAGAGCGAGUCAGAAAUCAAACAUAUACAUUAAAAAAAAAAAAUACUUCUUGGUUGAUUUAUAUCAAGCCAAUUAUGACAGUGACACAGUUCUGAGGCAGCUAUUUUCAAUCCCUUACCAAACACUUAAGUUCAUUCUGCCCCAAUUCAACAUUUUUGUUGAGUUACUUUACUGUAAUAAAUUGUAUAAAACUGCAGGGUUCCUCCAUAAACACGCCACCUGAAUGGUCCCAGAAUCCAUUUUGGGCCCUGGAGAUAAGAGGAUGGGAGUGUUCAUCCUUUCCUCCUCUAAACCUGGAUCAUUUCCCUGAUCCAACCCACCUCUUCCACUGCUAUUUGUCCUGCUAUUUGUCCAGGCAGAGAGCUCAGUUCCAGCCCUCUAUCAUUUGAAUGCUUUUGUUGAAAUUCCUGCAUCGCAGAGGGGUGGGCUGGAUGACCCUCAGGGUCCCUUCCAACUCAACGGUUCUAUGAUUCCAUGAUUCACAGGACAACCGUUUAACAUCCACCCCUCUCCUUUCAUAAGCUGGAAGGUUGGGGGUGAAUACAAAUCUGCUAGUGAUUCUAGGAGCCACCAGAAACUUCGUUGUUUUUGUUACAAUGCAACUGUCUAAAAACAAUUAGUCAGAAAGCAGCAAAUAAAAGGGUCUUAUUUAAAAUGUUACAAUUACAAAGACACUCCAGGAGGAUGGCAGGAGCAGCGUGCCAUGCCUUGAACUAGUUCAAACAACCCGCUCAGCCGUCAGUAACCAUGGCUGUUCAAUAGCCCUUUGUUGCACGAAGUGUCCAGAAGAUGGCAGCAGGUAGGUAAGACAUUGCCCCUUUUCUGGAAAGAGGAGAUUUUACCUUAUCUCUUCCUUGGUAGCCUCCAGAAUAAAUCACAGCAAUGCACCACAGAGUGAUGUUUUCGAAGAAGACUCUUCAGAAACAGAAUGUCUGCAGCUCACCACCUAAUGGCACACAACUGUCCUGAUUUGCAG